rnacentral:lncRNA from 1 species
AAAACAGAGGAAAAGCAAUGGAAUGGAGAUCUGAAGAGUCUUGGCCAUCAGGAAAAAACAGAUGGUGCUCAAAUCAUUUCAAAGGAAUAUGUUCAGGUCAUUAAAGAUGAGGCUUCCAAUCUUUCCAGCCAUAUUGAAGAAAUUCCAAGCCAAAAGGAAGCUGUUCUUGAAGAGUCUCUUGUAGAUUCCACAGAUGGACUUGAACAGGAAGAACCAGGAAGGCAGCAAGCCAGGGGAAAAGGGAACUCUUGCCUUAAUACAUCAUUGUUACUGGAGGAACUGUGCAGUAAAAAAGAGAGAAGAAAGCUGAUAGAGACAAAGAUACUCUCAAAAAUAUUUCUAGAGCCAUCACCAGGCCACCCUGAGCUAAAUAGUAAUCCUCCCUCACAUGGCAUUAGCAGAAGUCUAGAAAGAAGUGCUAAAGAAGAAACUUCUGCAGCUGGCCAUCUUCAAGAACUAACCCAUCUGUCACCGCAGAAUACUGAGAACUGGGAUCUAGACAAGACUUCUGCAGAGCUGAAGCAGCAGAAAAAUACACGUAACACUCAUGCAGAAAUUGCCUUCUCCUCAGCAGACUAUGAGACCUUCAGAGGUAGAUCUGAAAAGCAGCUCAUGGAAAAAUUAGAAGAGCUGUGUGACAGGCAAUCCAGGACGCUGUCUUCACGCUGUAGAUGGCCAUCAGCCAAAAUCUCUGUUCAAGAACAGCAGAAGAACAAGGAUGUUGCCUUCCUCCCAUCUUCACCAAGUUCUCUGAGGAUGGACGCAGUGAGGUUACAGUGCCUGCCAGAGCCUCUAACUGUGUACAUAGAUUUAAGAGAUGCUGAACCACAGAAGUCGGUAACAUUCCCUGAUGAGAAACAGAGGUAA